AUCCAACUGACGAGUCCCGAAUAGGACGAAAUGCGCAUCCUAAAU
rnacentral:hammerhead_ribozyme from 1 species